ensembl:lncRNA
GUGAGACCGAGGAAACCUGUACUUACGCCGCUGCCUAAAGAGAAAGCGAGUGAGCACCCAAGGAACGAACUGUGUGAACCAGUACUUACUGUGAGCUGUAAUCAGCGAAGAGCCGUUGCCUGUGGAGGAAGAGAAAGAGAGUGAGCACCUCGAGAACGAACUGUGUGAACCAGUACUUACCGUGAGCUGUAUUCAGCGAAGAGGAGGAAGAAGGAGGGCGCUACGGAUACCUAAGACUCAGGCCGGGGCCCGAGUCCCACGCCCCGGAUCCCCGUGGCCCCCUUGCUCCCUGACCUCUUCCCGGCCAUAGCCCAUCUGGAGGGCCGAGUCAGAGUUUAGUUUUAAUUGCCC